rnacentral:rRNA from 1 species
CACGUAGGACGCGAGCGUUAUCCGGAUUCACUGGGCGUAAAGCGCUUGUAGGCGGCUUGGUAAGUUGGACGUGAAAGCCCUGAGCUUAACUCGGGGAGGCCGUUCAAUACUGCUGAGCUCGAGGACGGCAGAGGAGAGUGGAAUUCCCGGUGUAGCGGUAAAAUGCAUAGAUAUCGGGAGGAACACCAGUGGCGAAGGCGACUCUCUGGGCCGGACCUGACGCUGAGAAGCGAAAGCUAGGGGAGCAAACAGG